rnacentral:tRNA from 1 species
CCGAGAGGUGUGCGUACACAAAGAACUGCUAACUCCUUGCCCCAAGGUUGAACUCCUCGGACCCC